UUUAUUUUUUAGAUGAAACAAUCCAGAUUGCUUCAGCUUCUGCCCAGCCAUCCAAAACCAGGGUUAGCCAAAGUGUAUUUCUGACAGAAGAGCAAGACCCUGUAAUUGGCCAAGUGAAUUGAAGGAUUCAUCUCAUCACUGGGCUGUCAGAUGAAACAGCUGAAUUUCUCCAGAGGACUGAGGUUUUAAGAACAUGAAGCUCAGGAAUCAAAAAGCCUGGAUAAGAAUUCAAGUUUUGCUGCUUUCUAGCUGUGUCACCCUGGGGAGAAUGAGCCUUUGACGCAUGAUGAGACUGGGAAUCAUGUGGCCACAUUCAUUGUCUAUGUAAGUAUGGUCAGUAUUGGAUUGUCCCCUAGACACAGCAGGCAUGGGCUGGAAGGGUCCCCACUGAACAAAACAUUAAGGGUUUGGAUCUAGGAAUUUAUAUUUUUAAAAAUACCAGUAGAUUCUAGUUA